UGCUUGGGUAGCUCAGUUGGUAGAGCACUUGCCCGCGGAAGGCAAAGGUCCCGAGUUCGAGUCUCGGUCCAGCAC
rnacentral:tRNA from 1 species